CUCCCUCUCCUCUUCCUCUCUGCAGACUGAAAAUCGAAGGAAAAAAAGAAAAGGAAAAAAAAAAAAAACCUAAUGCCCAAAACGAGAGGGCAGGAAUUUUCGAGCUCUCAAACAUUAUUCGUGUAUUUUAUGGUCUAUUGGGAUUGAGGCAAGUCUGUUGUUAUCGUUAUUAGAGUAUCUCUAAGGUACUCUUUAAAUUAGUUUUGUUAGCUAUUAUAGCUAGUGUUAUUAUAUUUUGGGUGGUUGGAGCUGUUGCAGAGUUCUAAUUAGAGCUUCUGUCGUACAGCUCUAAUGAGCUGUUCAGGAAUUAAAAAAAAAAAAAUAGUGAAGUAACAGAUAAAAAAAAGGAAGAAAAAGACAAAUUAGAGCUCUAUUAGAGGUGUUUUUUUAGAGGUCUAAAUCAUUUUUCUUUGGGUGGUAAUUAAGAGCUCUAAUAAUAGAGCUCUAAUAAGAGCACUGUGUCAUGGCAACCUUAAAAAAAAAAAGGUAAAAAUAUCAAAUCACACAGUGGGGCCCACAGGUUAGAGCUCUUCUAGAACUCACAAUUUAGAGGUUUGAAGCAUUUUUCUUAUAUUUUAGUCACUCCAAUUAACUAACUAUUACACUAAUUAUUUUAACAAAAAUUUUGAAAGCUAGUUUUAUUCGAAGAGUUUUGAGAGAUUCUUUAAACAAUUUAGGUAUAUAAAUAGACAAAAUAAAAAGUAAUAUUAAAGUACAUAAAUAAAAAAGAAUUAAAUAAAUAAAAUUACUUAUAUAUAUAUAUAUAUUUUUUUUUUUUAAACUUUUUUUUUAUAUUUUAACUAGUAAAAUAUUUUUAAUUUUUUUUAUAUUUUAACUAGUAAAGAAUGAAGAAUAUAGUUGGCGUUGCUCUUAUGGUGAGGAGGGAUAGGGUUUCGCAAGAUGAAGGAGAGCGAGAGAAGAGGCUCAGAAGUACGAUGGAGUGAUCAAGUCGAGCGAGGCAUAAUAAUAAUAUUUUGUUUUCUUCUUCUUCUUCUUCUUCUUCUUCUUCUUCUUCUAAAUUAAUUAAUUAGUUCAAUUUGAUUUGUGUCCUAUUCUAUUCUGAUGAUUUUAAUGUAAAAUUAUUAUUUGUUUGUAUGUACAAGUACCCAAUUGGAUGAGACAUCCCGACCGUUUCAGGACAUCAAGUCCGGUGCAAUUUUUGCCAUUGUCCAGUUCAACAGUGACAAAAAGUAAUACAAAAGUGACAAUGCUUAUAAUCAGAGGAGGAAAAAGUAGAAGCAGCUUUGAAGAUCCAGGAAUAGGAGUAAUGCACUGUUUUUGUAACUUUAGAUUGUUAGAUUAAUCAAAGUGUUACUUUCUUUCCUUCAUUUCCUUUUUUUAUCAUCUUUGGUAAGUUUCUUACACUGCACAAUAACCGCAAGGUAUCAUGAAUGUUUCAACAAGACUUUUGGAAGGCAGCAACACAAGCCGAGAAGGGAGAAAAGGAGGUGACACGGAAACCGAAGUUGAUAAGGCAUUGUUUCGCAAUAAGUUCUAAACUUCUAGACUUUAUUGACGGAAAGAUUAUGUACAAGCAUACGAUCAUCACCAAUAAAGAGGGUUGGAUGCAAAGGGUAUCAUAGCAAAGUUAAACCAUCCCAACUAGGUUGCCAUUGCAUAACUAGCAACAAUCAUAUACCAGCAUGCCACCAGGUAGGUGAGACACCAACCAACAAGAAGGAAAGCAAACAAAGCAAAGGGGGGAUGGCACAGUAAACAAUCAUGGCCUCAUAGUAACACCCAACAAGCACUGCACAGCAGAGAAUCACACUAGCACUCUACCACCAAUGCAAACUCUGAUUUGCUUCAUGUUUAAAAUGAAGUCAUUGAAUGAAAAAUGAGCUAGUUUAGGUGAUAACUUCACCCAAAUAGCAACUCUUUUCUUGACCAACUCAAUAACUUCAUCGUGGCUAGGAUUUGAGUCUUUAAAUCUACACUCAUUUUGAGCUUCCAAAUGGACCACAAAACUGCUAGAGGAAUAGUUCUCCAAAUCACUUUCUCAGAUUUCCUGACUUUGACACCAUCCCACCAAUGAAGCAACCCUUCCACUGAAUCUGGUAAUGCCCCAAAAAUACCCCACCACUGCAGCAUAGCAGCCCAGAUUUUCCAAGAGAAGGGGCAGACUAGGGGAACAUGACAAGCAGAUUCAGACUCAGCUUUGCAUAGAAUACAUACAGUAGAUGCAUUGCUAUACAAGACUCCAAUUUUCUGCAAAAAUUCAGCAGAUUUGAUUCUAAUCUUCCAAUCCAGCCAUCCAAAAUAUUGGACUUUGGUGGAGUAGGCUUAGACCAAACCAAUUUCUGUGCAUGCUGGAAUCUCAUGGAGUCCGAAUGUUCUUUGUGCUAUUAUUAUUUUUCUUAUUGUUUCAAGGCUGUGAAAGUAGAGCUAUUUGGACAAUAUGAUGUUUUGUAAUUUGAAUUUGAACUUUUAGACAAUGUGAUGUAUUAAGUAGUAAUUUAUUAUUAUUAUUUUUUGCAAUACUAUCAAUACACCAGUCAUUUAUGUUGUGUAAUUUGUUUUUCCCUGAUAAA